ACGUGUACCUGCUGCCCCCGGUGCGCCGGGGGGCCCCUUGGCUCAGGGCGCACGGAGCCUGGGCAGUGGUGACAGGAGCCACCAGUGGCAUCGGCAAGGCCUAUGCACACGAGAAACAUCCACGAGAGAGAAACCUCCAUGAAAAACAUCCAUCGACUGCCUCCUGCACGCUGCCUGCUGGGGAUCGAGUUACCUCUUGGUGCAUGGGACGAUGCCCAACCACUGAACCACACCGGCCAGGCCCAAUGAUUGGAUGCUUCUAUCAUUAAGAAUGAAAGCCCAAGUCUUUCCUGGGGCAUUCAAGGCUCUAUGACAGGGGUGGGCAAACUUUUUGACUCGAGGGCCACAAUGGGUUCUUAAACUG